CACACACACACACACACACACACACACACACACACACACACACACACCCUUGUCUAUGCCCAACUACAGUUCUGACAGCCCACUUUUACACACAACACAUAUUUAAAUGCUAUUUGAAAACUUUUACUUUAUUACACUUAUGCACAGCUGAAAAUGCGUACUUUAAUACUUAACUUAAGUCUAAAAUUUGUUGAAGACUUUUACUUUUACUUUGGUGAUUUUUACCCCUUUAUCUGUACUUUUACUUAUGUGAUAAAAAGCAAGUACUUCUUCUUCCAGCACUGCAUUCUGUUAUUUAGAUCAUUGUCAGGGUUCAGAACGUCACUGUCAUGGUCUGAGGUGAGCUCAUCCUCUAAUCUGUGUCAGCAUUCAUUCCAGGUGAGCGGUGUCUGAAUGGGACCAGCUGCAGCAGAUCCAUCAUCAGCCACUGCUGGCUUAAAAGGAGGAGGAAGACCACUAAUCAACACCUGUUGAUUACUCCACACGGGCAUAUCCAGUUGGAAACGCUCCUGCUACUCGAUCCAGCUCGACUACACCCCUUCAGUCAAGCUCCUGGACCUCUCUUCAGCCUGCAUCUUCCUUCCCUCAGUCCUGUUCAUCACAGCUCAUCCACCCCCCUCUGGAACCCUUCCCUCGACCCCACUGGACACUCCUCAGAUCUAACAGACCUCUUAACAAACCAUCUCCCCAGCAGCACAGCCCAGCUUUCCCCCUUGCCCCAGCAUCUCCCAGUUUGGGACGUCCUUAGUUGAACAGAUUAAUGAAACCUUUGUUUAAUUUUACAUUGUCUCUUGUGUUGAUUCUG